AGCAUCUCUCGCCGGUUUUUCUAUUUGCCGUAUGAUGAGAAGCUCAAAAUAAAACUAUCUCCAGCAACUGGAUACAGGAGAUAUCAACGGGUCGGAGUGAACGUUACCAAAGGUGUACUUGACAAGCAUGAAGCGAUUGAUUGCUACAAAGAGGUGAAACCUGGAAUGUAUGGAGGCCUUGGUGAAGUUAUGGAAGGAUGUAAUCAGUGGUUGUAUGCACACACGCUCUAGGGGUCUACCUUUAGAGCCUAUCGAUCUUGAGAUCGAAGCAUCCAACAGAAGGAGAAACGCUUUGAGAAGGCUAAAUCAAAGGAUCCGAGUCUCUUCUCCGGUCCAAAGACGAUCACCUUCACCUGUUCAAGAAUCACCGUCACCUACUCCGUCACCAGCCCACUCCCCUAUUCAGUUUGAGCCACAUUCUCCUAUUCUGAUGGAGAACGUAGAGGGGAAUGAUGUUCCACCACCUCCUCCAACGAAUGCUCAGCUUCAACAACAACUCGAAGACCUGCAAAGGCAGUUAAAUCAAAGGCAAAACGUGGUACCUGUCCAGAACAUGUAUGCCUAUCAUGGGGUGGCAAACCCACCCGUUUGCAACAAUGUUAAUGCCAACACGUUUGAACUCAGGAGAGGACUACUUCAGAUGGCUGAAAACAAUGCUUUUAGAGGCCGACCCACAGAGGAUCCUAAUAAGCAUCUCACUAAAUUCAUCCAGAUCUGCAACACGACGAAGAUAAAUGGAGUCACAGAUGAGCAGAUCAGAUUAAGGGUGUUCCCUUUUUCUCUGGAGGAUGAUGCCAAGGAUUGGCUGGACAGUAUGGAGCCUAACUCCAUUCGCACGUGGGAUGCCAUGGUUGAGAAGUUCUUAGAAAAAUACUACCCACCGAGUGAGGCAUUGAAGAGGCAGUCUGAGAUUAUUUCGUUUGAGAUGACUCCCCCAGAGAGUAUCCGAGGAGCUUGGGAAAGAUUCAAGGGGCUGAUGAAGAGAUGCCCCAAUCAUGGGCUGAACCCGACGCAUCAAGUCCUAGCAUUCUAUAGGGGGUGUCUGCCUGAAGCAAAGCGUGAACUGAACCUGAGCGCAGGAGGAUCAUUGCUGAAGAAAGGAGAAGAAGAGGCCAUGGAAGUGAUUGAGAGAGUGACAUCUAAUGAUGAAGGCUGGAACAACGAGAGGAGCAGAGUACACAGGGUAGCCUCCGCCGCAGAGAGCAGCCAUAUGGACAACAUGUUCAAACAGAUGGAACUCCUCCACAAGAAGAUAGAUCUCAUGGGGAUGGGACCGGCUGUGCAGGAGCAGCAAGAGGGUGUAGAGGAUGUUAACUACAUACACCAAGGGGGAAAUAGAUACUAUAACAACUCCCGCUCCAAUCAAGGGGGUGGAGGUUACAACCAUUUUGGGAACAAGGCGCAUCCUAACCUAUCGUAUGGGAACCCCAACAAUGCCCUUCAGCCACCACCGGGGUUCACAGUUUCUCAAGGGAUGAUCACUGAGCCGCAGAAGAAAAGUACAGAAGAUAUACUGAGUGCAUUCAUGUUACAGUCACACAAGAACAUGGAGCAUUCCAAUCAAAUGCUAGAGAAGAUUGAGAAUGAUAUGCACAACAUGUCAGUGCAUAUGAAGAGCCUAGAGACGCAAAUGAGUCAGAUUGCUCAAGCUGUGAGCAGUCAGCAUACGCCAGGGCAGUUCCCAGGACAACCAAAAGUAAACCCCAAAGAUUGCAAGGCAAUUCAGUUGAGGAGCGGGAAGAGUUAUGAGGGUCCUUCCAUGCCAGAAAUCCCACCAAAGCCUACAGUUGAGCCCGAGAGUGUACUAUUGGAAGAAGUAGAAGCGGAGGAACUUAAAACAUCACCGCCCGCAGUUCAACUCGAGGUGGGCACACCAGUCAAGGCAUCAGAGGUUAGAGUACCAUUUCCCCAAGUGUUGCAAAAGAAGAAGAACGAUGAACAGUUCUCCAGAUUCUGGGACAUCUUCAAGAAAGUACAAAUUAACAUCCCACUUAUUGAGGCACUUCAGCAAAUGCCUGGGUAUGUUAAAUUUCUCAAGGAUGCAGUCUCCAAGAAGAAGAAAAGGGGUACAGGCCGGGGUAUCAUCAAAUAAAGAGAGAGAGGUAAAAGAGGGAAUCCACUAGACACCCCCCCAAACUUAUUCCAAGCAAAACUAGGAUAAGUUUGAAAGAGAGUGGAUCUCCCAUGGACCUUCACUGCGGAGGAGGAGGCGGAUGCUGCCACUGGCCACGGAAUUCAUCGAAUCGGGCAUUGAUGUUGGCCCAUUGUGCGUUGUUGAAGUCAGUGAAUUGGGUCCAGUUGGUGUCGAACUGGUUCCAUCGCGCUUCAUUCUGGACCCAAUAUUCCUGCUGACGCAGCUCCAUCCGUGUCAACCUCUCAUUGAUCGAGCCGUAGUCCUCCUCUUCUCGCUCUUGUCGGCUUCGUGUCCUCUGAGUGCUUGUCCCGGCUUCAUCUCCCCCUUGGUGGGUCGGUUGUUCCUCACCUUCCUCCUCAUUUUCUUCUUCAUUUUGCUCGACCCCCAUCUCGAUCGCGGGAAAAUCCAUGUGGGGCGCUUCAUCAACACUCGAGCUCGGGCUUACAUCCCUAAAUUGCAAGUUCCGCGGAUUCAACGCCGUGGCUUGUUCGUGGACCGCAGCCUUCAUCUUCCAGUUUUCUUUGCGGAAAGGACCGUUCACAUAGGUGUUGACGGUGUCCGGGAGGGGGUAAUGAUCUGCUGCCCUCUGUAUCAAAUAUAUCUGCCCUCGCUGGUCGGAGUGGACCAACGAGGGCAGAUAUAUUUGAUACAGAGGGCAGCAGAUCAUUACCCCCUCCCGGACACCGUCAACACCUAUGUGAACGGUCCUUUCCGCAAAGAAAACUGGAAGAUGAAGGCUGCGGUCCACGAACAAGCCACGGCGUUGAAUCCGCGGAACUUGCAAUUUAGGGAUGUAAGCCCGAGCUCGAGUGUUGAUGAAGCGCCCCACAUGGAUUUUCCUGCGAUCGAGAUGGGGGUCGAGCAAAAUGAAGAAGAAAAUGAGGAGGAAGGUGAGGAACAACCGACCCACCAAGGGGGAGAUGAAGCCGGGACAAGCACUCAGAGGACACGAAGCCGACAAGAGCGAGAAGAGGAGGACUACGGCUCGAUCAAUGAGAGGUUGACACGGAUGGAGCUGCGUCAGCUGGAAUAUUGGGUCCAGAAUGAAGCGCGAUGGAACCAGUUCGACACCAACUGGACCCAAUUCACUGACUUCAACAACGCACAAUGGGCCAACAUCAAUGCCCGAUUCGAUGAAUUCCGUGGCCAGUGGCAGCAUCCGCCUCCUCCUCCGCAGUGAAGGUCCAUGGGAGAUCCACUCUCUUUCAAACUUAUCCUAGUUUUGCUUGGAAUAAGUUUGGGGGGGUGUCUAGUGGAUUCCCUCUUUUACCUCUCUCUCUUUAUUUGAUGAUACCCCGGCCUUUACCCCUUUUCUUUUGAUGAUAUUUGAUGAUGAUAUGUGGGCAUGUAAAUUUGAAAUUUGAAUUGUGAUGUUUUGUUGAUCUUGGAUGUUGGAGUAGGUGGCCUUGUUUCCAUGUUCCACUUGUUUUUGUGUCUUUGUUUUCUUUUUAGGUUUGUUUUUCUUUUUAGGUUUGUGUUGAUAAUCUCCCUUGGGUAGAAUGAUAGAUUUGGGAAGAAAAUUGGUGAACUCGAAUGGGGAGUGAGAGACGUUUGGAGAUGAAUUGAGUAUGUUGUUGGAUGAGUUGCCUAUGAUGAGAAUUGGCUUAAAAUGUUUGUGAAAACUUGUUGAUAUAGCUAAGUAACUUGUAUCUCCUUCUUGUAAUUUGCCUAGAGUGAAUUGCUCGUUGCUUUGUCUUUUGCCGAAAAAUACCAUGUGAGGAUUGAGCCUAUAUCUUUUUCCAAAAAUGUGUGAUUUUUCAUCAACUAUGUUAUAUGUUUCUAGAACUUGCUCGCGGUCUCCUUGAAUCUACAUAGUGAUUAUAGAAAUAGGAGAUGACGUUAGGCCAUCCCUUCUACCCUUAUCUUAAUCUUAAUCCUAAUUGUAAAUUAUAAUCCCUUGUUAGCCAACUUUGAGCCUAAAAGCCUUUUCUUUGAUAGCUAAUAAAUUGGGUUGGGUUCCCUUAGUGUCAAGUGAAAGAGGGAAAACGGAGGAGUUUGUAAGAAAAAGAAAUGAGAGAGUUGAUAAACUCGUAGUGUAGCAAGUAUUUUUGGAUGUUUAACGUGAAUACUUAAAUGUUUUGUAGCAUAUUACUUGAGUUUGCAUCCAUUAUCCACUACUUAAGUGUUUUGAUAAGUUUGUCUAGUGUUUGGGGAUAAAACAGGUGAAAAUUACUUGAAAACGAGCUUGAAGCUGGAUUACAGAAGAAACGCCCGACCGGGCGUUCAUGUACAAGAGAAACGUCCGGCUCGGGCGUUUGUGCAAAGAAGGAACGAAUCCAGAGAGUUUGCCCGACCGGGCGUUCUGCCUCGGAAGAAUCGCCCGACCGGGCGAUGUGAAGGAAUCAGGGCCAUCGAGAGAUCGCCCGACCGGGCGUUUAGGGGUGUCUAGUCGAUUCCCUCUUUUACCUCUCUCUCUUUAUUUGAUGAUACCCCGGCCUGUACCCCUUUUCUUUUGAUGAUAUUUGAUGAUGAUAUGUGGGCAUGUAAAUUUGAAAUUUGAAUUGUGAUGUUUUGUUGAUCUUGGAUGUUGGAGUAGGUGGCCUUGUUUCCUUGUUCCACUUGUUUUUGUGUCUUUGUUUUCUUUUUAGGUUUGUUUUUCUUUUUAGGUUUGUGUUGAUAAUCUCCCUUGGGUAGGAUGAUAGAUUUGGGAAGAAAAUUGGUGAACUCGAAUGGGGAGUGAGAGACGUUUGGAGAUGAAUUGAGUAUGUUGUUGGAUGAGUUUCCUAUGAUGAGAAUUGGCUUAAAAUGUUUGUGAAAACUUGUUGAUAUAGCUAAGUAACUUGUAUCUCCUUCUUGUAAUUUGCCUAGAGUGAAUUGCUCGUUGCUUUGUCUUUUGCCGAAAAAUACCAUGUGAGAAUUGAGCCUAUAUCUUUUUCCAAAAAUGUGUGAUUUUUCAUCAACUAUGUUAUAUAUUUCUAGAACUUGCUCGCGGUCUCCUUGAAUCUACAUAGUGAUUAUAGAAAUAGGAGAUGACGUUAGGCCAUCCCUUCUACCCUUAUCUUAAUCUUAAUCCUAAUUGUAAAUUAUAAUCUCUUGUUAGCCAACUUUGAGCCUAAAAGCCUUUUCUUUGAUAGCUAAUAAAUUGGGUUGGGUUCCCUUAGUGUCAAGUGAAAGAGGGAAAACGGAGGAGUUUGUAAGAAAAAGAAAUGAGAGAAUGACAUGCAAAGCAUGGAAAAAAAAAUAAAGAGAAAAAAAAAGAUGAAGAAGAAGAAGAAAAAAAAAAGAAAACUAGGUUAGUUUUUGAAAAUGAAUAAGCGUUGUUCGAAAAAAAGAAGGGGAAAUUGGGAGUUGAGAAGAGUCUAGGCAAAGCCUAUGACUAGCUAAGGAUCGCAGUGCACAAGGGUGAAGUAAUCGUAGUUUCACUUCGGGAUUAUAGUCACUUUGGCUAAAUUUUCCUCACCUAACCAAAGAGCCCUACAUUACAACCUUGGAAAAGACCUUUCGGAUCCUAAAUUUGUAGUCACAACAUAGUAGAGGAGAGUCUAGACUUCGAGCAAGCUUAUGGUAAGCUAUACAUUGUUGAUUGAUUUGAGAGGUUCAUACUAUACCUAUACACUUUGAGAGUGAGAGGAAAAUAAAGAAAAAAAUCACAUUAUAUUAAUCCUGUGAGGGCAAAUUGACAAAAUGGAAUACGUGCUAGUAACUUGAAGCAAUGUUCAUUUUGGUUUACUUGUAUGCGAAGUAUUGAUACAUGAUGAUUCUGUUUUCUUUUACUGAGGCAAAGAUGACAAUCCAACAUACUUACACGAGUUCUAAUUCUCUGUUUUCUACUUCUUAUUUGAGGACAAACAAGUGUUUAAGUUUGGGGGAGUUGAUAAACUCGUAGUGUAGCAAGUAUUUUUGGAUGUUUAACGUGAAUACUUCAAUGUUUUGUAGCAUAUUACUUGAGUUUGCAUUCAUUAUCCACUACUUAAGUGUUUUGAUGAGUUUGUCUAGUGUUUGGGGAUAAAACAGGUGAAAAUUACUUGAAAACGAGCUUGAAGCUGGAUUACAGAAGAAACGCCCGACCGGACGUUCAUGUACAAGAGAAACGCCCGGCUCGGGCGUUUGUGCAAAGAAGGAACGAAUCCAGAGAGUUUGCCCGACCGGGCAUUCUGCCUCGGAAGAAUCGCCCGACCGGGCGAUGUGAAGGAAUCAGGGCCAUCGAGAGAUCGCCCGACCGGGCGUUUAGGCGACUUAAAAUCGCCCGGCCGGGCGAUGUGUUCUGCGAGAGUUAAUUGCUAUUAUUUCCGCCCCGGGUAUAAAAGGAGAGCUAGGUUUUCGUGCCCAAACACACCAGACACGCCCCCAAGAGCAGUUUUCACAUUGGAGAGCAGAUUAAAGCGACAAAGAGUCCGAUUCAUCAAGAAGGUUGAAGACGAAGUCGAUUUGCCCACUCAAUCCACCUUUGGGAGUAUCUUUAUUAGUUUUCUUAUGUUUAGUUCACUUUCCAUGGAUUUAUCUUGUGAAUUUGCAUUGAAUAUGAGUAGCUAAAUCCCUUGUAGAGUUUUAGAGAAGACUACAAUGAACGCUUUUGAUUAAUUUAAAGGCUUUUGA